CCUGGCCUAACCACCACCAAGAUUCCUAAAAGGCGAAUAGGAAGCAGCUGUGGCUUAUUGGAAGGAAAGAAUGGCAGCAAGUCCUGGGGGAGCUGUGCCCGCACCAGAUCUCCCGUUAGGGCAGCCAAGGCCAUAGAGAGUGGAACAGAAUGGAAUCUGUCUCUCCUUAAGCUGUUGAGGAUGACGCCAGGUCCUGGGAAAAUGAUACUGUCUUGGUCCAGCCUCCACCUCUGCAUCUCCAGGACUGAUGUUCCCCCUGUUAAAGGAGCUGGAUCUCCCUUUGUCACCCAGGCUGGAGUGCAGUGGCGUGAUCAUGACUCACUGCAGGCCUCAACCUCUCAGGCUCAAGUGAUCCUCCUGAAUAGUUGGGACCAUAGAAACACAAACAGCAGAAUGGCUCCAUCUCUGUUGAAGACUUCCAUCAACUAGAACCACGAGGGCUGAUGGACAGACCACAAGGCCAGUUUGUUCCAGUUCAAUGAUUAAAAGAACCACAGAUGACCAGGCACGGUGGCUCACGCCUGUAAUCCCAGCACUUUGGGAGCCCGAGAGACGGAGUUUCACCAUGUUAGCCAGGAUGGUCUCGAUCUCCUGACCUCGUGAUCCGUCCGCCUUGGCCUCCCAAAGUGCUGGGAUUACAGACGUGAGCCACCGCGCCCGGCCAAAACCCUGCUUUUAAUAAAGUGUGAAAUGGUAAAAAUAACCUCUCUUUUUUUUUAAGUUUUCUAUUUGUAUAAAUGUAUAGGGCAAAAGUAUCGUUUUGUUACAUGCAUAGAGUGUGUAGUGGUGAAUUCAGGGCUUUUCGGGAGAACCUCUCUUCUUACACAUCAGUGGAGUACUCACUGAUAACACUACGCUUAAUAGUAAUGUUGCCAUUAUUAGUGUUACGACCCACUGAUAUAGAGACCUAUUUGACAACUAACAGGACUUUCUUAAAAGUCCAAAAAAGGAUCUGCUUUGAUAAUUCUGCUAGGAGAUCCAAGUGGGUGGGUGGAUCUGCUAGCACCACUCCUCAAGUGUUUCAAUGUUCAGUCUGGGGUAGAUCCAAUUAGCAGAGAAGAAUUUUUAUGCAAUGGCUUGGACUAGAGUUUGGAAUUUGGCAGUCAUCACUGGAAAAAUGAAUUUCUGCCUGUUCUGAAUCAAAACAAAACAAGCCAUGUGCAGUACACACCUGUAGUCCCAGCUACUUGGGAAGUGACUUGAGAGGAUCACUUGAGCCCAGGAGUUCCAGUCCAGCCUGAGCAACACAGUGAGACCCUCAUCUCUAAAAAGCAAAUAAAAAUAAAAAACACCAAAACAACCA